AUGCUAGACUCCCUUCCCUCGUUCGUCGCCGCCUUCAUCCCUUCGCCGCCGCCGCCCUUCAUCCCUUCGCCGCCGCCGCCCUUCAUCCCUUCGCCGCCGCCCUCGGUCUCACAUCAAAGGCGUCCCACUCGCACAACGAACCUGCCGCCCUUCUGGAGCCGAAAGCCGAUCCAUAGAUCCCCAUCUGGACGCGCACGUCCGCCUUCUUGGAUCCAUCGCUGCCAUCGUGGAUCCGCCGCCGCCGUCGCCGCGGAACCCCUCGGACGCCUCCGCCUUCGUGGAUCCAUUGCUGUCGUCGCGGAUCCACCUCUUCCUCCUCCGUUGCUGCCCCUCCGCCCCACCUGCCGGCGUCGACCUCAUCCAGCACGCCUACCUGGUCGGGGCCCCUGA
rnacentral:rRNA from 1 species